CAUUAAAGCAGUGUGGUGUAUUAUUUUUCUUAAGUCGAACUGACAGCUGAGUCCAGAGGGGCUGAAGGAUAAAUAGAGCAGGAUGAGAAGACGACAAGCCACACUGCCACUGCAAUAAAUCAUUAGCAUGACAGGAGGGAAGUAAACAAGGCCUUGGUUUAAGGCUGAGCUGAAUGGACGAAAUGACUCAACCCUAGAGUGGGGAACGACUUCAGAACUGUGGAUGUCUAGUAGGGUACCGAAGUCAUUGCUUCUGUGGAUGCAGGACUGCAGGAGGUGUCAGAUCAUUGCAGUGUCACUUUUCAGAAUAAAGGAAAGGAAGAGAAAUGAAUAUGAUUGCAGCCUUUCACGAAGAACUGUGCUAAUGAUACUGUUUGCAGGUAGUGUUCAACAGAGCAUUAAAAAACGAGUGCUUUCCAAAGUUUUAAACACCCGCAGCGACGUAGUUCAGAAACUGAUUGUGCUACAAUAACUAAAACAACAUAAUUUGGAAUUACUUGUUCCUAGCUAAUGUUGAAACAAACACUAUUUGGUGGCACAUGGUGCUAAUAUUAGGAAAUUAGCUUAUGUUGAUAUUAUAGGGCUUGAAUGAGAUAGAUUAAUUGAUUUGGGCUAAUGUAACUGUUUUAGUGUCAUCACUUUCUGAUAUCCUUGUGUGCUUAGACAAAGGUUCUAACAGCAUAUUUAAUCCUCCCCUUGGAUCUUACUGCAGAAAGCGUAAGAGUUUCUCACAUCAGUGCACUGCAGCAGGAAAAUGUGGAAGGCUAUGCAAUACGCAGGAACAAACUAACUGGCAGAUAUCUGAAAAGUCAAACUCAGAGCAGUGGCCGAUAAUAUAUCCUGAGCCCUUAUGUUAUUAUUAUUAUAAUUUUUGCGAUUAUAAGCCCUUAUAUUAUGACGAUGCACAACCUCUGAAUGGCAUAAAAAUGGAUUGCCUCCUCUAAUUUCCUUUACUUUAUGUACCUCUUGUGCAACUCAGACAACACAUGCAGUCACUCAUAUAACUCUAGGCCUAUAUUGGAAGUGGGCCAAACUACACAAGCUGUUCAGCAUCCCCACUGAUGAACUGAAAAUUAUCCUAUGGCUUGCAGGUUCACUCAAUUUGCAAUGCAACAAAUAUGUUUGAGCUGUCCAUGGAUUGGAGCAUGAUGGUAGGUGAGAAUAUGUGUGUUACUCCCAUAGUUGGAUGAACAACCAUAGGUAAUGGAAAUUUGUGAUUUGUCCAUAGUGAGCUCCUGAAAAUCUCGAUGAUCCGAUUUUGUUCACUUAAAUAGUAUAGAUAUAGAUGUGAUUGACCAUGCAAAAGAGCCUGCACUUUCAAGUUGCCUUUCCUAGUUGCUCACUACUAGAGUUGAUUCUUUUCUUGUGCUAGACCCUUGUUGUACCUUUCAGUGAUCUAAGUUCUCGUGUAGGUAUAUGAUUCUUUACUUCUCUAUACAUUAGGUAUGUAUUAUAA